AGAGAUGCCUCUGCUGCAACAAAGAUGCUGCAAGGUGUCGCCUCAGGAGGGGCUCUUGUCCUAUCAGCUUGAUGGCGGGGUAACGGCCCACCAUGGCACCGACGGGUAGUCGGCGUGAGAGCGUGACCGGCCACAGGGGAACUGAGACACGGUCCCCACUCCUACGGGAGGCAGCAGUCUAGAAAUUUGGGCAAUGGGCGAAAGCCUGACCCAGCGACACCGCGUGGAGGAUGAAGUCUUUCGGUAUGUAAACUCCUGUCAGGGUGAACGAUGCCACUGCGGAGUAACUGCCGCAGUGGUGACGGUACUCCCAAAGGAAGCUCCGGCUAACUACGUGCCAGCAGCCGCGGUGAUACGUAGGGGGCAAGCGCUGUCCGGAUUUACUGGGCGUAAAGGGUGUGUAGGCGGACUGGUGUGUCGAUGGUGAAAGCUUCCGGCUCAACCGGGAAACUGCUGUCGAAACUACUGGUCUAGAGGGCAGGAGAGGAAACUGGAACUUCCGGUGUAGCGGUAAAAUGCGUAGAUAUCGGAAGGAACGCCGAUAGCGAAGGCAGGUUUCUGGAAUGCCCCUGACGCUGAAACACGAAAGCUAGGGAGCAAACAGGAUUAGAUACCCUGGUAGUCCUAGCUGUAAACGAUGCGCAUUAGGCGUGGGGAUCCUAUUCUCCGUGCCGCAGUUAACGCGAUAAAUGCGCCGCCUGGGGACUACGGCCGCAAGGUUGAAACUCAAAGGAAUUGACGGGGACCCGCACAAGCGGUGGAGGAUGUGGUUUAAUUCGAUGCUACGCGAAAAACCUUACCUGGGUUUGGCAUGCAAGUGGUAGGGACCCGAAAGGGGAUCGACCGGGGAUUUUCUCCGGAGCUUGCACAGGUGCUGCAUGGCUGUCGUCAGCUCGUGCCGUGAGGUGUAUGGUUAAGUCCCGCAACGAGCGCAACCCCUGCCCUUAGUUGCUAACCGGUGACGGUGCACUCUAGGGGGACUGCCUCCGUCAAGGAGGAGGAAGGUGGGGAUGACGUCAAGUCAUCAUGGUCUUUAUGCCCAGGGCUACACACGUCCUACAGUGGCUACCACAAUGGGUCGCAACAUCGCAAGGUGAAGCUAAUCCUCAAAGGUAGCCAUGGUUCGGAUAGCAGGCUGCAAUUCGCCUGCUUGAAGACGGAAUCGCUAGUAAUCGCUGAUCAGCAUGCAGCGGUGAAUACGUUCCCGGGUCUUGUACACACCGCCCGC
rnacentral:rRNA from 1 species